CCGCCUGUAGCUCAGUGGAUAGAGCGACCGCCUCCUAAGCGGUAGGUCGCAGGUUCAACUCCUGCCAGGCGGACCA
rnacentral:tRNA from 2 species